CGGUCACGUGGCGGGCGGCGGGCCGUGGUGGCGGCGCGGUGCCGGGCGACCGGCCGGGUUUGUCCGCUCCUCCUGACUGUGCCGUGCGGUCGGGUCUCGGUGGGGUCCGGGGGCUCCCGGGGUCGGUGCCGCUCACUUACGGACGGCGCCGCAGGGCCGGGAUCGGCGGCAGCGGGGUGGCACCGAGACCUCCCGUGUGCCUGCGGGAACGGCGAGAGCGGCUGCUGAGGCUGUGAGCGGUGGCUGAUGAGAGAAGCUGAAGAGAGGAGGCUCGGAAUUGAGCUGAUGGGUGAAUCGCAGCCUUGGGAUCUCUCUGCUCUUUGUUCAGCAAACACGUCUGGCCCCCAAUUGCUUUAACGGACCGAUGUUUUUAUGUGGCACCAGACAAGGUAGGGAAUCUGUGGGACUUGGCGUGCUUGCAUUGAUGCUUCUCAGCCUGUUUUUGCUUUUCUGCAGUAGCAUAACAGC